GACGAGGCACUACGGUGCUGAAGCAACAAAUGCCCUGCUUCCAGGAAAAGCCUCUAAGCAUCAGGUAACAUCAAAUCGUACCCCAAACCGACACAGGUGGUCAGGUAGAGAAUACCAAGGCGCUUGAGAGAACUCGGGUGAAGGAACUAGGCAAAAUGGUGCCGUAACUUCGGGAGAAGGCACGCUGACAUGUAGGUGAAGUGAUUUACUCAUGGAGCUGAAGUCAGUCGAAGAUACCAGCUGGCUGCAACUGUUUAUUAAAAACACAGCACUGUGCAAACACGAAAGUGGACGUAUACGGUGUGACGCCUGCCCGGUGCCGGAAGGUUAAUUGAUGGGGUCAGCGCAAGCGAAGCUCCUGAUCGAAGCCCCGGUAAACGGCGGCCGUAACUAUAACGGUCCUAAGGUAGCGAAAUUCCUUGUCGGGUAAGUUCCGACCUGCACGAAUGGCGUAAUGAUGGCCAGGCUGUCUCCACCCGAGACUCAGUGAAAUUGAACUCGCUGUGAAGAUGCAGUGUACCCGCGGCAAGACGGAAAGACCCCGUGAACCUUUACUAUAGCUUGACACUGAACAUUGAGCCUUGAUGUGUAGGAUAGGUGGGAGGCUUUGAAGCGUGGACGCCAGUCUGCGUGGAGCCGACCUUGAAAUACCACCCUUUAAUGUUUGAUGUUCUAACGUGGAUCCGUAAUCCGGGUUGCGGACAGUGUCUGGUGGGUAGUUUGACUGGGGCGGUCUCCUCCUAAAGAGUAACGGAGGAGCACGAAGGUUGGCUAAUCCUGGUCGGACAUCAGGAGGUUAGUGCAAUGGCAUAAGCCAGCUUGACUGCGAGCGUGACGGCGCGAGCAGGUGCGAAAGCAGGUCAUAGUGAUCCGGUGGUUCUGAAUGGAAGGGCCAUCGCUCAACGGAUAAAAGGUACUCCGGGGAUAACAGGCUGAUACCGCCCAAGAGUUCAUAUCGACGGCGGUGUUUGGCACCUCGAUGUCGGCUCAUCACAUCCUGGGGCUGAAGUAGGUCCCAAGGGUAUGGCUGUUCGCCAUUUAAAGUGGUACGCGAGCUGGGUUUAGAACGUCGUGAGACAGUUCGGUCCCUAUCUGCCGUGGGCGCUGGAGAACUGAGGGGGGCUGCUCCUAGUACGAGAGGACCGGAGUGGACGCAUCACUGGUGUUCGGGUUGUCAUGCCAAUGGCACUGCCCGGUAGCUAAAUGCGGAAGAGAUAAGUGCUGAAAGCAUCUAAGCACGAAACUUGCCCCGA
rnacentral:rRNA from 1 species